GUGCUUAAUUUGUUUGGCAGCACAUAUACUAAAAUGGGAAUGAUACAGGGAUUAGCUUGGUCCCUGUACAAGGAUGACACACAAAUUUGUAAUGUGAUCCAUAUUUUU
ensembl:snRNA U6 U6 spliceosomal RNA